CUUACAGACACCCAAUGCACCCCUAACAGACACGCACACUGCAUCCCUUAUAUACACAGAAACACACCUUGCAUUCCUUAUGCAUACAAACACAGAUUCACACAAUGCAUCCCUUACACACAACCAGAAACACACAAUACAUCCCUUAUACACAAACACUCACUGCUUUCUAUCCCUUACACAAAAACACACUGCUUCUACUACACACAAAC